rnacentral:rRNA from 1 species
UACGUAGGGGCCGAGCGUUGUCCGGAGUUAUUGGGCGUAAAGCGCGCGCAGGCGGCUUCGCGCGUCCGACGUGAAAGCCCCCGGCUCAACCGGGGAGGGUCGUUGGGUACGGCGGAGCUUGAGGGCGGUAGAGGUUGGUGGAAUUCCCGGUGUAGUGGUGAAAUGCGUAGAGAUCGGGAGGAACACCUGUGGCGAAGGCGGCCAACUGGGCCGACCCUGACGCUGAGGCGCGAAGGCGUGGGGAGCAAACAGG